UCGUUACUUUUGCUGAUCCAGGUGACAGAAUUAUGGCACUAAGGUGUAAGGAAGUGGAUUGUUUUAAGAUCAACAUAAAAAAAAUUCUACUUACUGCCACCUUGUGUGUGAAGAUCAUUGCUGUAGUCUCAGUCUGCUCUACAGGAAGAGACCAUCUCGGGACACAGCAGGAAGCUGGCCAUCUGCAAUUCAAGGAGAGAAGCCUCGGGAGAAAAUAAACCUGCCAGCACCUUGAUCUUGGACUUUUAGCCUCCAGAGCUGUGAGAAAAUAAAUGUUUGUUGUUUAAGCCA